GGACCGCUCUGUCUCCUCUCUUUGGCCCACACCUCCUACCCCAGGAUUUCCUUGUGUGGGGAACACUGUCGGUGUUCCUUCCAUAAGGCGCUCGGGGGGUUCAGUCAGUUUGCUUCUUGUCUGCAAAAGGAAAACCCACGGGUAUUUUACAGAACAUCGGCUACGUGCCGGGUGCAGUGACAGACCCUGGGACCCGCAGAGCAGAUCUCACCACCCCUGUCUUCUUGGAGCCCAGCGCUAGUUGGAGAGACAGGCACACCUAGGAAUAAAUACCAGGUCAUUAGAAAACGAAAGAGGAGAACAGAGAUAGAGGGAGGGAGAUGGAGAAGAGAGAGACACCAGUGUCUGAGCUGGACAUAAAUGGUGGGAGAGGACCUGGAACAGGACGGAAGGAACAACUCCAACACAACCCAGGCGACAAAAGACAGCGCAGGAAACGUCGGGAAGGAGUUGUCCGGCUGGACCCAAGUGAGGGAAAGAAAGCUGGAAAGGGAAGCCGCAAACCUCUCAGGAAGGGCCCUGAAGUUUCGGGGGUGGCUCGAUCAUAAUGUUGGAGGGGACGUGGCGCUGCUUGUGGAGGGGACACGCCCUUGACUCACCUGGAGUCACCUGCCGACAGCUUCCUGGGACUCUGCCUGAGGGUGAUGUCUGGCUCCAGGUCCCUGAGACCGACUCUGUCAGGAAGGAGAAGAGGCAUCGUGGAAGAGGUGGGAGAAGUCGCCCAAGGUGGAGCUGCGGAAGCCACGGGGAAGAGCGGGUGUCUCCCGCUAUAAAGGUUGAGACCCUCCAGACGUAAGGAUCUAUGGAGACACUUUCAGGUACUUAGUUGUCCAAACUGCAUUUCAGAGAGAAUUGAAACCCACUUUUAUGCACACAUAUAUAGCACUCAUGGCAGUUGGGAUUACCCUGUGCCUUACGAAGUGACAUUGUCCCAUUGCAGGGGCUUGGUCCAUUCAGCCUCCUGUUGUGUACUCUGGGGCUCACUGUUGCCGCGGCUGGUUUGUCUGGAACCCUCUGCCCAGACCAAAGCCAUCCUCUGGUCUCUGUUGGGCGCCUGAGAGUAAAUUUCAUGUACUGGGUUUUUAUCUUUUUCUUAUUGAUUUAUAGGAGCUCUUUAUAUAUGAUAGACCUCAACUCUUUGUCAAUUAUGCACUCUGCAAAUCUUUUCCUAAACCAAGAUGCGUCUUUCAUUUUUGUUUUCAAUAUUUAUGUAUUACAAUGAUUUAAAUCUUUUAUGUAUUCGGAGUUUUAGAUUUUAAUUUAGUCACAUUUGUCAAUAUUUUCCUUUAACAUUGAUGCCUUUUGCAUCUCGUUUCAGAAAAACUUUCUAUGGCCAAUUCUGUUGGUGGCCUCCAAUAUCCAUUCUAGUUUUCUUCCUUUAAAAUGGAAUUUCAGUUUUUUAGCUAGACGUAACUGAAAGAUUACAUUUCCUAGUCUCCUUUUCAGCUGGCCAUUAGAUUGACCUCUGGCCAAUGAAAUGUGAAUGAAACUGCUCUGUGGGACUUACACGGCAUUUCUCUUCCUCACCUUUCUCAUUCUGCCAUCCAGAAGGCAAAUGUGGGUGGGGUGCCUAGCUGGCUCAGUUGGUAGAACAUGAGACUGUAUCUCUGGGUCUUGAGUUCAAGUCCCACAUUGAGUGUGGAGCCUACUUAAUUAAAAAACAAAUUUUUUUUUUUUUAAUUUCGGAAGGCAAAUGUAAUGGCUGGAGCUCCCAUAGUCAUCUUGGAUAGUGAGGUAAUCUCAAUAUGGAAACAACAUGCUGAGGAUGGAAGGGCAUAGUUAGUUAUUUAUUUAUCUUCACAUUCAUUUAUUUAUGUUGAGAGAGAACACAAGUCAGGGGCAGAGAAAAAAGGAGAGAGAGAAGCCCAAGCAGGCUCUGUGCUGUGAGUGCAGAGCCAGACGCAGGGCUCAAACCUGUGUGGGGCACUUGGGUGGCUCAGUUGGUUAAGUAUCCAACUUUGGCUCAGGUCACGAUCUCACAGUUCAUGGGUUCGAGCCCCACGCCGGUCUCUGGUCUCUGUGCUGACAGCUCAGAGCCCGGAGCCUGCUUCGGAUUCUGUGUCUCCCUCUCUCUCUGCCCCUCCCCACUCACGCUCUGUCUCUCUCUCUCUCUCUCAAAAAUAAGCAUUAAAAAAAUAAUAAUAAUAAAUCAAACCCACAAAGCA
ensembl:lncRNA